GCCCCUGUGAUGCAAUUGGAAGACAUGACCCGCUUAAAACGGGUUUUCUACAGGUUCAAGCCCUGUCAGGGGUACUA
rnacentral:tRNA from 2 species